UUAUUGAUGCUAUAUAGACAUAG
rnacentral:siRNA from 1 species